UACAGAGGGUGCGAGCGUUAAUCGGAAUUACUGGGCGUAAAGCGCGCGUAGGCGGCUUUGCAAGUCGGGUGUGAAAUCCCCAAGCUUAACCUGGGAACUGCAUUCGAGACUGCAUUGCUAGAGUAUGGGAGAGGGAAGUGGAAUUUCCGGUGUAGCGGUGAAAUGCGUAGAUAUCGGAAGGAACAUCAGUGGCGAAAGCGACUUCCUGGACCAAUACUGACGCUCAUAUGCGAAAACGUGGAGAGCAAACAGG
rnacentral:rRNA from 1 species